AACAAUGCAUAUGUAGGGGCCAAUUUGGUUGGCAUCUAAUCACGGUUGUCAAAAUCCAAAAAAUAAACCAAAUUUUAUCUAUUAAAAAAUCUAAUAAAGCUUGCAGUAGCUAAGAACUAAGACAGUCAACAGUUUGAAAAAUCGAAUGUUGAAAAAAAGGUAUUUACAACAUUGAACUUAAGACAGUCUAUUGGUUUUAUGUCAUCGAACUCAGCAAUCAGCAUUGUGCUUCAAAAUUUCAAGCAAAAUAUGGCUUAUGGCCACUAGUGUCUGCACAUGCGUUUUUAACUCAUUUACUAUGCCCGAAAUCUCAAAAAAUGAGGUUACUUAACUGGUCAUUUGCCGCCACACCACCAUCACUGAGAUAAAAACGUGUGUCGGCCCCUUUCACACUAUCACGAAGCUUAUUUUUGACAAAUCAGCAAUUGCCCUUUAUGCUUAGCUUAAAUGUUCCUCAUUUCCAAAAACUAGUGCGAUGAUACAGGCAUAAACUUUUGUACAAAUUUAUUUUAUAUAAAUUAAUGUAUCAUUAAUUCAUUGGUUGAAUAAAAAUAUAAAAUAAUAAAAAUAAAUCAUGUGGGUCAAGUGAUAUUUAAUUCAACUAAUCUUAUCAUACCACAUCAGUUUGUACAAAAUAAAAUUAUACAAGAAUUUGUAGGUAUAUCAUUACUCUUUCCAAAAACUAGAGCGAUGAUGCGUGGGUUGAGUUAAAAUGAUGAUGAUGUAAUUGAUGAUGACGCAAGAAAAUGAAUGUUGGCAGCGCGUAUUUCUUUUUACAUACAUACAGUGUAAAUGGAUAAAGGGGUUGGGUGAUGGAUAUUAAUUGAUUACUAAAUCCCGUAUUCUAUUUUCUUUAAUUGUAUUCUAAAACGAACAGCACACACACAUCUUAUUAGAAGUAAACGAGCCAUCGAAAGGGCUUCUUCUACAGUUCUACUGCUGUCAGGCUUAGAAAGUGCUGACUGAGAACUCUAUUUUUAUCAAUAUUUUAUCUAACUUUUUUUCAGUUUGUGGUCUCCCUAGUCCCAAUCAAUUUUUAUUUAAAAAAGAAAAAGAAAAAUAACUAUCAAUAAUUCAAUUAUAAUGGUCUGAUAGUGUAACACCCUAGGCGAAUCCCACAUCGGCAAAGCACGGGAGAGAUGCUGGGUUUAUAAGUGGUGAUCCACACCUUAAUUGGCAAGACGCAUUUUGGGGUCUAUGGGCCUUAACAAGGCCCGCACGGAUUUGUUCUUGGGGCGCCCAUACACCCCAAAACGCGUCUUGCCAAUUAAGGUGUGGAUCACCCCUUAUAAACCCAGCAUCUCUCUCGUGCUUUGCCGAUGUGGGAUUCGUCUAGGGUGUUACAUACACUCCCCCUUGGGGACUCAGCGUCCUCGCUGAGGUUUGCCCCACCAUCGCUCAAGAGGACACGCGGAGCCGCUCUGAUACCACAAUGUCAUGACCCAACCCAGACCUGACAAGAUAUUGUCCGCUUUGGGCCUUAACAAGGCCCGCACGGAUUUGUUCUUGGGGCCCCCAUAGACCCCAAAACGCGUCUUGCCAAUUAAGGUGUGGAUCACACCUUAUAAACCCAGCAUCUCUCUCGUGCUUUGCCGAUGUGGGAUUCGCCUAGGGUGUUACAGAUAGUCUCUAGUUAACUGGAUUGCAUGUGCUUUAAAUUUUCAAUAUUCUUUUGCUGCAGAUCGCGGGCGAGUUAACUAGAGUUCCUCCAUUGACGUACUUAUCCGCCCCCGUUCGCGCAGGGCCCAGUGAAAAAGUAAAUGAGGCCCAAUUAAAUGAAGAAGCCCAUUAAUAAAGUAUAUGUACGUAACUCGUAACACACGCUGCUGAGGUCACUGUGGGAGUGACCUCGAUGUAAAGUAUAUGUAUGUACAUACAUACAUACAUACGUAUACACCUUGAUGUAAAUUAUAAAAAAAAAAAAAGAGAAAAAUUACAAUAGAGUUGAUUAAAUUGUAAACGGAGUAGCCGAGUCUAAUAUGGGCUUAAUUUGCAAGUUCGUACUAGCAAACUUUGAAGGGAUGAAAAUCAACCUUUUUUUUAUUUUUUUUUUCACUUCUAUAUAUUGAACUUUUUAUAUCGUUACGUAACUUGGGAUGUUAAACAACUUGAGAAAAGAAUCCCUCCCAUAUCUUCGAUAAUAAUCUGCUUGAAUUAGUAUAAAUAAACCAUUUAACGUAUCUAAAAAGAUUGCUUUGGUGGUGUCUAUAUAUGUAAUUGACAUUAAGGAAUCAUGAGUGCCAGCGUCACCACUGAUCACCAUUUAUUGUUAUUAUUAUUAUUAUUAUUAUUCGUAUACGUGGUAAAACGCACACGCAUGUAAAAGAAAUAAAGAGGCCAAAAUAGAAACGUGACACUUUUGUUAAGUUCAAUGAGUUUAAAUGCCUCUUCAUAUGCGCAAGGUGUUGCUAUCCUCAACUGAGCUUCAAAUUAAGAGAAAGUCUAUGACCUGACUAGAGCAAAUAAUUAAGCAAAGAUGAGCUCAGUGGCGAGGAGCCUAAUUACACUUUUUUUUUUUUUGUAAAAAACUUAUUUAAAUCCAUGUAUUUUAAUAUUAGUAUCUAUUUAAUCUCUAUAUUUUUUAAAAUGUCUUGAAACAUCCAUGCCAUUAAAGUAUUG
rnacentral:lncRNA from 1 species